rnacentral:lncRNA from 1 species
CCUGCAAGGAUAUUUUCUUUUAUUUUUGUGUUUUAGAUGUGAAACCCGUGGAGGUGAUAAAGGUGCUUCUGUUGCUUUUGUUUCCAUCCCAGGUCCUCUCGCUACCGCACGAACCCAGGAGUGGGAACAACCCACCCUGCAAACCCAGGAGAGCCCGGCCCUGAGAGCCACCAGCCCCGUCUGGGGGCCACCAGAAGCCCUCACCAUGGCUGAUCCCACGUGAACUUUCCUCCUCCUCCUCCUCCUCCUCCUCCUGCCUCUUGCUGGAGCAGCGCAGAGCACGCCUGGUGCCAGCACCGCGGCCACGGGGACACCGGGGACUGCCCUGGGGACAGGCAAGGACACCAUGGAGCAUCCCCGUGCUGGGCAGCACCGAACCUCGUGGCUCGUGGGCAGCCAAAGAGUCACAGAAUCACCGGGGCUGGAAGUGAACUUGAAAAUCAGCAAGCGCGACCGCCAACCUCCCACGUCCCAGCGCUGCGCCACGGCCCCUGGUGCCACCAGAAGACCUCGUGCAUCUGCCUGGAGAAGACACCUCGGUGCUUUCCACGUGGCUCAGGCUUCCUUUGCUGUCCUCCUUUGCCAUCCUCCAGCUCGCUGCAGUGAGGUUCGAGCUCCUGGGAGGUGCCCACGGGGGACCCAUGGUGCUUGUGGCGUCCUGGGCUGGGGCGAGGAGGUUUGGGGUGCUGAGUCCCGCGGCCCUCCCGGCUCCGAGCAGCUCUCCCGUACCACUGGAAGCCCAGGAACUGGAAGUGCUUCGUACCCAGUCCUGCUGACCCCAUCCUGUAAGGCAAAUUUGGGCACCCAGGGCAAUCCUAGAGCGGCACUGGGCGCAUCAGGGCUGAGGUGCCGCCGUGCCAGCGAUUCAAAGUGGGUCAGAAAGUGCCCUUGAGCACAGGAUUUGAGGCUCCUUUGCUCUUUUAGGGAGGAAAGGAGCCAAGCAGGGAGCCCUCUGAUGCUGGUGGGAGCAGCCUGAGCCCCUUCUCCUUUGGCCUGAUGCUGCUGGCAGCUUGGGGGGCUUGGGGAGCACCCCGUGUCCCAUGGGGAGCUGUGUGCGUCCGCCCCCAGCCCUCACCAGGCAGAAGCGGGUGGGAGAAGCCGUGCAGAGGCACCGAGCCAUUGGUAAUAAAUGCAAAAUGCUCUGGCCCUGGAGCUGCA